UACGGGGGGAGCAAGCGUUGUUCGGAUUUACUGGGCGUAAAGGGCGCGUAGGCGGUCAGCACAAGUCAGUUGUGAAAUCUCCGGGCUUAACUCGGAAAGGUCAACUGAUACUGUGCGACUAGAGUGCAGAAGGGGCAACUGGAAUUCUUGGUGUAGCGGUGAAAUGCAUAGAUACCAUAAAGAACACCUAUUGCGAAGGCAGCUUACUAAGCUGUAACUGACGCUGAGGCACGAAA
rnacentral:rRNA from 1 species